rnacentral:rRNA from 1 species
UGCAUGUGGGGCAAGCGUUGUUCGGAAUUACUGGGCAUAAAGGGUGCGUAGGUGGCUUGUUAAGUCAGGGGUGAAAGUUUUCGGCCCAACCGGAAAAUGGCCUUUGAUACUGGCGAGCUCGAGUGCGUGAGGGGUAACCGGAACGAGCAGUGUAGCGGUGAAAUGCGUAGAUAUUGCUCGGAAGGCCAACGGCGAAGGCAGGUUACUGGUGCGCAACUGACACUGAGGCACGAAAGCGUGGGGAGCAAACAGG